rnacentral:rRNA from 1 species
AUACGUAGGGGGCGAGCGUUGUCCGGAAUGAUUGGGCGUAAAGGGCGCGUAGGCGGCCCGGUAAGUCUGGAGUGAAAGUCCUGUUUUUAAGAUGGGAAUUGCUUUGGAUACUGUCGGGCUUGAGUGCAGGAGAGGUAAGUGGAAUUCCCAGUGUAGCGGUGAAAUGCGUAGAGAUUGGGAGGAACACCAGUGGCGAAGGCGACUUACUGGACUGUAACUGACGCUGAGGCGCGAAAGUGUGGGGAGCAAACAGGAUUAGAUACCCUGGUAGUCCACACUGUAAACGAUGAAUGCUAGGUGUAAGAGGUAUCGACUCCUUUUGUGCCGGAGUCAACACAAUAAGCAUUCCGCCUGGGGAGUACGGCCGCAAGGUUGAAACUCAAAUGAAUUGACGGGG